CCAGACUGCACUUGAACUAUGAGAUCAGUGACAGAAAUAAUUAUUCUCCUAAUGUUGAGUAUCAUGAGUGAUGCUAAGACCACGCAACCAAAGGCAAUGGAGAGUAUUGAAGAAGAUCCUGUGCGCCUGCCCUGUAACCACUCCACAAUCAGUGGAAGUGAGUACAUAUAUUGGUAUCGACAGAUACCCACACAGGGUCCAGAGUAUGUGAUUCAUGGUCUAAAAAGCGGUGUGACAAAUGGAAUGGCCUCUCUGACCAUUGCAACAGACAGACAGUCCAAUACCUUGACCCUGACUCAGGCCACCUUGAGAGACACCGCUGUGUACUACUGCAUCGUGAGAGGCACACUGGGACAGAUGGGGCUGCACCUGUGCAAUAUGUCCCUGGUGGGGAAGGGAAGCAGCAGCAGCCAUCCAAAGAGGCCGCUGCACAAGAACGAGCAGAAGCCCAAGAGAAGAAGAAGAAAAGUAAAGGAGGAAAAAGAGUAA